GAUGAACGCUGGCGGCGUGCCUAACACAUGCAAGUCGAGCGAUUCUCUUCGGAGAAGAGCGGCGGACGGGUGAGUAACGCGUGGGUAACCUGCCCUGUACACACGGAUAACAUACCGAAAGGUAUGCUAAUACGAGAUAAUAUACUUUUAUCGCAUGGUAGAAGUAUCAAAGCUUUUGCGGUACAGGAUGGACCCGCGUCUGAUUAGCUAGUUGGUAAGGUAACGGCUUACCAAGGCGACGAUCAGUAGCCGACCUGAGAGGGUGAUCGGCCACAUUGGAACUGAGACACGGUCCAAACUCCUACGGGAGGCAGCAGUGGGGAAUAUUGCACAAUGGGCGAAAGCCUGAUGCAGCAACGCCGCGUGAGCGAUGAAGGCCUUCGGGUCGUAAAGCUCUGUCCUCGAGGAAGAUAAUGACGGUACUUGAGGAGGAAGCCCCGGCUAACUACGUGCCAGCAGCCGCCGUAAGAC
rnacentral:rRNA from 1 species